AGUGAACGCUGGCGGUAGGCCUAACACAUGCAAGUCGAACGGCAGCACAGUAAGAGCUUGCUCUUACGGGUGGCGAGUGGCGGACGGGUGAGGAAUACAUCGGAAUCUACUUUUUCGGGGGGGAUAACGUAGGGAAACUUACGCUAAUACCGCAUACGACCUACGGGUGAAAGCAGGGGAGCUUCGGACCUUGCGCGAUUGAAUGAGCCGAUGUCGGAUUAGCUAGUUGGCGGGGUAAAGGCCCACCAAGGCGACGAUCCGUAGCUGGUCUGAGAGGAUGAUCAGCCACACUGGAACUGAGACACGGUCCAGACUCCUACGGGAGGCAGCAGUGGGGAAUAUUGGACAAUGGGCGCAAGCCUGAUCCAGCCAUACCGCGUGGGUGAAGAAGGCCUUCGGGUUGUAAAGCCCUUUUGUUGGGAAAGAAAAGCAGCAGGUUAAUCCCCCGCUGUUCUGACGGUACCCAAAGAAUAAGCACCGGCUAACUUCGUG
rnacentral:rRNA from 1 species